GGGAGAGAGCACUCCCCUAGGGCCAGGAGGUUCUUCUGGGCCACGGGUGGCAGCCGAGACCCCAGGCUGCCAAGUUUCCUAAGAGAAGGAAGGCCAGCACCUCGCCUCCUUGUCCUGACUUGGGGUUGGGCCAGCACCACAGUCUUUGCACUUCAGAGCCUGGACAGGCCCCGCUCAUCCACCAGCCCGUGCCCGGCCCACUGCCCACUCUCCCCUACUUGAGAGGCCUGGGGCAGGGGCACUGCCCUGGCUUCAAGAUGAGAAGAGCCCCUAUGAGGGAGAAGGGUCCAGAAGGAAUGAGCCCAUCGGCCCCCUGCACGUGGGGGUCCAGGUGACCUGCUCUCAUCUGUAGCUGUGCUGCUCCCCUCCCCCGCAACCAGGGCUACCAGUGGCUGAAGGACAAGAUCCUCAGUGAGGAGGGCCGGCGCCAGCAAGCCAAGCUGAAGGAGCUGCAGGCCAUCGCCGAGCGCCUGGGCUGCACCCUGCCCCAGCUGGCCAUAGCCUGGUGCCUGAGGAAUGAGGGAGUCAGCUCCGUGCUCCUGGGGGCCUCCAAUGCGGACCAGCUCAUGGAGAACAUUGGGGCAAUACAGGUAAGAGUGAGAGGCCCUGCUGGGCAGAGGGCCCAUCCCAGCCCGAGCCCCGUCCAGUGCAUCCUCCCAGGCUCGUCCUGCGUGCCAGGCUCUGUUCUAGGCACUCAGGAUGCGCCCGUGAACCAUCAGAGUUGUGCUCCUGGAGAGCUUGCUUUCCAGCAGGAACAGACAUGAACACUAACUGCACGAAACAAGGAGGUCCUUCCGAAACUGUCAUCUUCCAUUAUCCACGAGAUUGAUAGUAUUUUGGGCAAUAAACCCUACAGCAAAAAGGA
rnacentral:lncRNA from 1 species